rnacentral:rRNA from 1 species
GGCCCUUCGGGGUACUCGAGUGGCGAACGGGUGAGUAACACGUGGGUGAUCUGCCCUGCACUUUGGGAUAAGCCUGGGAAACUGGGUCUAAUACCGAAUAGGACCACGCGCUUCAUGGUGUGUGGUGGAAAGCUUUUGCGGUGUGGGAUGGGCCCGCGGCCUAUCAGCUUGUUGGUGGGGUAAUGGCCUACCAAGGCGACGACGGGUAGCCGGCCUGAGAGGGUGACCGGCCACACUGGGACUGAGAUACGGCCCAGACUCCUACGGGAGGCAGCAGUGGGGAAUAUUGCACAAUGGGCGCAAGCCUGAUGCAGCGACGCCGCGUGAGGGAUGACGGCCUUCGGGUUGUAAACCUCUUUCAAUAGGGACGAAGCGCGAGUGACGGUACCUAUAGAAGAAGCACCGGCCAACUACGUGCCAGCAGCCGCGGUAAUACGUAGGGUGCGAGCGUUGUCCGGAAUUACUGGGCGUAAAGAGCUCGUAGGUGGUUUGUCGCGUUGUUCGUGAAAACUCACAGCUUAACUGUGGGCGUGCGGGCGAUACGGGCAGACUAGAGUACUGCAGGGGAGACUGGAAUUCCUGGUGUAGCGGUGGAAUGCGCAGAUAUCAGGAGGAACACCGGUGGCGAAGGCGGGUCUCUGGGCAGUAACUGACGCUGAGGAGCGAAAGCGUGGGGAGCGAACAGGAUUAGAUACCCUGGUAGUCCACGCCGUAAACGGUGGGUACUAGGUGUGGGUUCCUUCCUUGGGAUCCGUGCCGUAGCUAACGCAUUAAGUACCCCGCCUGGGGAGUACGGCCGCAAGGCUAAAACUCAAAGGAAUUGACGGGGGCCCGCACAAGCGGCGGAGCAUGUGGAUUAAUUCGAUGCAACGCGAAGAACCUUACCUGGGUUUGACAUGCACAGGACGCCGGCAGAGAUGUCGGUUCCCUUGUGGCCUGUGUGCAGGUGGUGCAUGGCUGUCGUCAGCUCGUGUCGUGAGAUGUUGGGUUAAGUCCCGCAACGAGCGCAACCCUUGUCCUAUGUUGCCAGCGGGUUAUGCCGGGGACUCGUAGGAGACUGCCGGGGUCAACUCGGAGGAAGGUGGGGAUGACGUCAAGUCAUCAUGCCCCUUAUGUCCAGGGCUUCACACAUGCUACAAUGGCCGGUACAAAGGGCUGCGAUGCCGUGAGGUGGAGCGAAUCCUUUCAAAGCCGGUCUCAGUUCGGAUCGGGGUCUGCAACUCGACCCCGUGAAGUCGGAGUCGCUAGUAAUCGCAGAUCAGCAACGCUGCGGUGAAUACGUUCCCGGGCCUUGUACACACCGCCCGUCACGUCAUGAAAGUCGGUAACACCCGAAGCCGGUGGCCUAACCCUU